AUGGUAGAGGUGGGUUGGAGACUUUCGAGUUUCCAGUUCAUUUUUUUAGAUGAAUUAUGGUGCUGAGGUGUAGUGGGAGGCACUGAGUCUGAGGGGGAAGAUGCUUAAUCGGCUAAGUCGGCUGUUGCUUUUGCACUGCUGCUCCGAGAAUAAAUUGAAGACACAAACUAAUACGUACAUUGUAGCGCUUUGUGGACCAGUCACAAGCGGCGUUCCUUAGUCACCUGUACAAAUUCUAAUACAAGUUAUAGAUGCCCUUGACAAUCUUGCAUUGAUCGAUCAUUUAAAUUUACUAGGCAUACUAGUUAAAUUACAAGGAGUUAUAAACUCGGCCAAAAAGGCAAUAGAAAAGGUUAAUCAAAAGCUCUUUGAUGGGGAAACCAUCAUCAUCCUACACAAGCACAAAUGUUAAGCUUUCUCUUAGCAGUCAUCAAGAUAAACCUUAUGUAUUGAAAAUUUGAAGUUGUCGUCUAC
rnacentral:sRNA from 1 species